rnacentral:rRNA from 1 species
AUUGAACGCUGGCGGCAGGCCUAACACAUGCAAGUCGAGCGAGCGGCGGACGGGUGAGUAAUGUCUGGGAAACUGCCUGAUGGAGGGGUAUAACUACUGGAAACGGUAGCUAAUACCGCAUACCAUCAGAUGUGCCCAGAUGGGAUUAGCUAGUAGGUGGGGUAAAGGCUCACCUAGGCGACGAUCGCUAGCUGGUCUGAGAGGACGACCAGCCACACUGGAACUGAGCCAGGGUACAGACUACUACGGGAGGCAGCAGUGGGGAAUAUUGCACAAUGUGCGAAAGCCUGAUGCAUCCAUGCCGCGUGUGUGAAGAAGGCCUUCGGGUUGUAAAGCACUUUCAGCGGGGAGGCGUUACCCGAAGAAGAAGCACCGGCUAACUCAGUGCCAGCAGCCGCGGUAAUAC